rnacentral:rRNA from 1 species
GGUAUAUGCUUGUCUCAAAGACUAAGCCAUGCAAGUCUAAGUAUAAGUUAUUCUGAAGACGAAACUGCGAAUGGCUCGGUAAAACAGCAAUAAUUUCUUCGGUGAUGAGUUUACUCACGGAUAACCGUAGUAAUUCUAGAGCUAAUACGUGCUGAAAUAAGAUGGGGUUCGCUCCAUCGUGCCGUUUAGAUAACAACACCAACAUUUGGUGAUUCAUAAUCGUCUUUCUGAUCGCUUGUGCGACGCACCGUUCAAAUUUCUGACCUAUCAACUUUCGAUGGUAAGGUAGUGUCUUACCAUGGUGGCAACGGGUAACGGACCGUGGGUGCGGGACUCCGGAGAGGGAGCCUGAGAAACGGCUACCACAUCCAAGGAAGGCAGCAGGCGCGCAACUUGCCCAAUCCAGACUCUGGGAGGCAGUGACAAGAAAUAUCAAUAGGGGAUCCUAUGGGUCUUCUAAUUGGAAUGAGAACAAGCUAAACAGCUUAUCGAGAAUCCAGCAGAGGGCAAGUCUGGUGCCAGCAGCCGCGGUAAUUCCAGCUCUGUAAGCGUAUACCAAAGUUGUUGCAGUUAAAACGCUCGUAGUCGGAACUUGGCCAUUCCGGAAGUGUGCACGUCGUGUGCGCGCUUUGCGGGGAUAGCUUUUGUGGUUUUGCGUAGGAUGAGGCACUUUUAUUAGUGAACGUCCUCACGCAUCCACUCUUUACUGUGAGAAAAUCAGAGUGCUCAAAGCAGCAUUUGCCGUGAAUGUAUUAGCAUGGAAUAAUAGAUAGGACUUGGUUCUAUUUUGUGGUUUGUUGGGACUGAGUAAUGAUUAAGAGGGACAGUUGGGGGCAUU